CACAUGUGCCUGCUGGCAUUGGGGAGACUGAUGGGCUCCUGCGUGUCCGAUGCUCCCUGUGGCCUGGCCCCAGGACACUCUCACAUGUGCCUGCUGGCAUUGGGGAGACUGAUGGGCUUCUGCGUGUCCGAUGCUCCCUGUGGCCUGGCCCCAGGACACUCUCACAUGUGCCUGCUGGCAUUGCUGCUGCUGCUGCUGUGGUUGCAGCCAUGGGCUGUUGCAUGCCAGUCAGGACAGCCGCUCUCACGAGCACAAGCCAUGCUCGCUGACACCAAGACAGGACCACAGGUGACAGGCAGAAAAGCAGGGGUAUCAGCUCAGCCCUGAGCCAGAGCCCUGCAAACACCCUCCCCUUGGCUCUGGGUAAAAAACCACCCCCAACUCAGGAGCACAAAGCAAAACUGUGGAAUUGCUCAUCACCCUGUGGGCCAGGGGCUGGAGUAGGGCCUCAGCUGAGUAAUAACAGCUGGAGGUGGAGGGCAUGGAGGAUUGGUGGACUCUUGCCUUGGGGCUGGGGCUGCCUUCCGCCAUCAGCUGGGCUCCCCCAUUCCACACCAGCCUCUCCAUGCAACCAGCCUGGGCUCCUCGCGGCACGACAGACUCAGACCGCUUCAGCUUGCAAGGCUGCAAGAGACCAAGGCCGAACCGCAGGUCCACUUACAGAGGCGGGCAGGACCUUCUCAGCAUCUCAGCUGCCGUCCCCACUGCACGGAGUGGCCAAGGCCAACCCAGACUUAUGCACGGGGAGGAAUGAGCCGCUCUCCACAGGAGGCGUGCUGGGGACCAGUGGCAUCUUCCAUUCACCAAGCCUCUGUGCUGCCAAUCUAUUGGAGGACCAGCUACUAAUGUAUCAACGUGGAUUCAGGAUCUCUCAAAGUGAUGGGGUGGCCGGUGAAAAAGAAAGCAAGACAAAGAAACAGCUUUCUUCAAAGCUGGGCCUGGGGGAACCACAUACCGCUGCUCCGUGGAUGUCUAAAACUUCCCUGAAAACCUCAGUUAACUCAUUUUGG
rnacentral:lncRNA from 13 species